AGCUUCUGUUACACUUCCAUUAAUGGCUACCAAAACUUUUGUGUUGAAUUUCUUCAUGUUUUCUUGUAUUCUCUUGACCUUCAUGAGCUUCAAGCUCUCAACGGCUCAAAUGGUGCCGGCUGUGUUCGUUUUCGGCGACUCCCUUGUGGACGUGGGCAACAACAAUUACCUUCCACUGUCUCUUGCCAAAGCAAAUUUUCCUCACAACGGUAUCGAUUUUCCUAC
rnacentral:misc_RNA from 1 species